rnacentral:rRNA from 1 species
UUAUUCACCCUUGUCUUUUGCGUACUUCUUGUUUCCUUGGUGGGUUCGCCCACCACUAGGACAAACAUAAACCUUUUGUAAUUGCAAUCAGCGUCAGUAACAAAUUAAUAAUUACAACUUUCAACAACGGAUCUCUUGGUUCUGGCAUCGAUGAAGAACGCAGCGAAAUGCGAUAAGUAGUGUGAAUUGCAGAAUUCAGUGAAUCAUCGAAUCUUUGAACGCACAUUGCGCCCUUUGGUAUUCCAAAGGGCAUGCCUGUUCGAGCGUCAUUUGUACCCUCAAGCUUUGCUUGGUGUUGGGCGUCUUGUCUCUAGCUUUGCUGGAGACUCGCCUUAAAGUAAUUGGCAGCCGGCCUACUGGUUUCGGAGCGCAGCACAAGUCGCACUCUCUAUCAGCAAAGGUCUAGCAUCCAUUAAGCCUUUUUUUCAACUUUUGACCUCGGAUCAGGUAGGGAUACCCGCUGAACUUAAGC